CAGCGUUGUCCCUUCAGGAACAGAAGGUCUUGUGUAGUGAGGGUCUCAGCCUCUCCAUAACCAAUGUCAAAGUCGGAUCUGCCCUUGUGGAUCUGGUGAUGACUGCAAGAGGUCCUUCAGCUACAACACAGGAAACUUUGAAAAAUAGAGCUUGGUCAUCUAUAAACCUGUAAUUAUAGCACACACCUGGGGCCACAGACAGAGGAGAUCAUAGAGACAGAGCGAGCCUGUGGUCUCCCCACCAGGAGUGUGGACAGAGGCUCCGCUGACAGAGAAGGAGCUGGGGUGAGACACAGAGAGAGACCAGGCUUCAGGGACCCUAGUGGAGUCCAUGGGGUCAACAUCCCUGAUGUCCUUGUCCAUGUGCUCCCUGCCCUGGGGAUCGUGCUGACCCUGAGCCUCACUCUGAUCCUGGAGAAGCAGUGGAGCAGUGGGGACAGUUGAAGACAGUCCCCAGGGAGGAGGCACAGCAGACAUUCCCACAGUCACAGGAGUGAUUAUAGCUGGAUGACUGUUCCCUCCAUGUGGGAAUCUCUCAGCCACAGACAGUGUAUCCAUGUUCCUUGCAUCAGACCCCACAUGCUGCUUCAUACAGUCUUUCAUGUCACAGGUACCCUGUCCCAGCCUCUGCUACUCAGCCACCCCCGUCUCUGUGUCUCCAGGCACUAAAGCCAGAUUCACCUGCACCCUGCGUAACACGAAAAGAGAGGUAGGACACAGGAAGAGGGAGAAGCAGUGUCCCUGCAGGGAGCACGAUGUGGGACUGGAUCCAAGGGCCCAAGGAUCAUGCCCUGAGACAAAGGCAGAUGCUCAUCCACCGAGCCACCCAGGAAUCCCAACAAAGACUUUAAAAACAAAUCCUCGGACUUCCUCCUCUUGUCUCUCCUUUACUACACACACUACAUGUUUCAC
rnacentral:lncRNA from 12 species